rnacentral:misc_RNA from 1 species
GAUGAAGAACGUAGCGAAAUGCGAUAAGUAAUGUGAAUUGCAGAAUUCAGUGAAUCAUCGAAUCUUUGAACGCACAUUGCGCCCAUUAGUAUUCUAGUGGGCAUGCCUGUUCGAGCGUCAUUAAUUCCACUUAAGCCCUGCUUAGUGUUGGGAUUCUACUCUAGUGGUGCUACCCUGGAGCUACCCCUGAAAGGGGGCUGGCCCGGUAGCUACCCUGUAGUUCCUCAAAGAUAGUGCGCGGAGUUGCGUGGUCCUCUGAGCUUAGUAACUAUACACCUAGCUUUUGAGUGUCCCGCGGCGCCUGCCGUUUAAACCCCAUCUUUUAAUGGUUGACCUCGGAUCAGGUAGGAAUACCCGCUGAACUUAAGCAUAUCAAUAAGCGGAGGA